rnacentral:rRNA from 1 species
GACGAACGCUGGCGGCGUGCCUAAUACAUGCAAGUUGAGCGCUGAAGGUUGGUACUUGUACCAACUGGAUGAGCAGCGAACGGGUGAGUAACGCGUGGGGAAUCUGCCUUUGAGCGGGGGACAACAUUUGGAAACGAAUGCUAAUACCGCAUAAAAACUUUAAACACAAGUUUUAAGCUUGAAAGAUGCAAUUGCAUCACUCAAAGAUGAUCCCGCGUUGUAUUAGCUAGUUGGUGAGGUAAAGGCUCACCAAGGCGGUGAUACAUAGCCGACCUGAGAGGGUGAUCGGCCACAUUGGGACUGAGACACGGCCCAAACUCCUACGGGAGGCAGCAGUAGGGAAUCUUCGGCAAUGGACGAAAGUCUGACCGAGCAACGCCGCGUGAGUGAAGAAGGUUUUCGGAUCGUAAAACUCUGUUGGUAGAGAAGAACGUUGGUGAGAGUGGAAAGCUCAUCAAGUGACGGUAACUACCCAGAAAGGGACGGCUAACUACGUG